rnacentral:rRNA from 1 species
AAGUUGCCUCGGGUGAAACUUGCACAGGUGCUGCACGGCCGUCGUCAGCUCGUGCCGUGAGGUGUUGGGUUAAGUCCCGCAACGAGCGCAACCCCCGCCGUUAGUUGCCAGCGGUUCGGCCGGGCACUCUAACGGGACUGCCCGCGAAAGCGGGAGGAAGGAGGGGACGACGUCUGGUCAGCAUGGCCCUUACGGCCUGGGCGACACACGUGCUACAAUGCCCACUACAAAGCGAGGCCACCCGGCAACGGGGAGCUAAUCGCAAAAAGGUGGGCCCAGUUCGGAUUGGGGUCUGCAACCCGACCCCAUGAAGCCGGAAUCGCUAGUAAUCGCGGAUCAGCCAUGCCGCGGUGAAUACGUUCCCGGGCCUU